rnacentral:rRNA from 1 species
AGGAUGAACGCUGGCGGCGUGCUUAACACAUGCAAGUCGAACGAUGAAGGCUGGAGCUUGCUCUGGCUGGAUUAGUGGCGAACGGGUGAGUAACACGUGAGUAACCUGCCCCAGACUCUGGGAUAAGCGCUGGAAACGGCGUCUAAUACCGGAUACGAGCUUCCACCGCAUGGUGAGGAGCUGGAAAGAAUUUCGGUCUGGGAUGGACUCGCGGCCUAUCAGCUUGUUGGUGAGGUAAUGGCUCACCAAGGCGACGACGGGUAGCCGGCCUGGAGAGGGUGACCGGCCACACUGGGACUGAGACACGGCCCAGACUCCUACGGGAGGCAGCAGUAGGGAAUAUUGGACAAUGGGCGAAAGCCUGAUCCAGCAAUGCCGCGUGAGUGAUGAAGGCCGUUAGGUUGUAAAGCUCUUUUACCCGAGAUGAUAAUGACAGUAGUCGGAGAAGUAACGCCCGAUAACCUCCGUGCCAGCAGCCGA